rnacentral:rRNA from 1 species
GCUUGUCUCAAAGAUUAAGCCAUGCAUGUCUAAGUAUAAGUGUUUAUACAGCGAAACUGCGAAUGGCUCAUUAUAUCAGUUAUAAUCUACUCGAUUGAUUCUGUUACUUGGAUAACUGUAGGAAUUCUAGAGCUAAUACAUGCGAAAAGUCUGGACCGGGGGCAACCUUGGGAAGGAUGCAUUUACUAGAGGAGAAACCAGGGUGGGGCGUUAACUUGCGGGCAACCGUAGGGUCCCAUUACAACAGAUGAAUCAUAGUAAGUUCAUGCGAAUCGAAGGCUCAAGCUUUCGAUGAUGCGAACGAGUUUCUGCCCUAUCAACUUUCAACCGUAGUGUAGGGGACUACGGUGGUUGUAACGGGUACGGGGAAUUAGGGUUCGAUUCCGGAGAGGCAGCCUGAGAAACGGCUACCACUUCCAAGGAAGGCAGCAGG